rnacentral:rRNA from 1 species
AACGAACGCUGGCGGCAGGCUUAACACAUGCAAGUCGAGCGCCCCGCAAGAGGAGCGGCAGACGGGUGAGUAACGCGUGGGAAUCUACCCAUCUCUACGGAAUAACGCAUGGAAACGUGUGCUAAUACCGUAUACGUCCUUCGGGAGAAAGAUUUAUCGGAGAUGGAUGAGCCCGCGUUGGAUUAGCUAGUUGGUGGGGUAAAGGCCUACCAAGGCGACGAUCCAUAGCUGGUCUGAGAGGAUGAUCAGCCACACUGGGACUGAGACACGGCCCAGACUCCUACGGGAGGCAGCAGUGGGGAAUAUUGGACAAUGGGCGCAAGCCUGAUCCAGCCAUGCCGCGUGAGUGAUGAAGGCCCUAGGGUUGUAAAGCUCUCUCACCGGUGAAGAUAAUGACGGUAACCGGAGAAGAAGCCCCGGCUAACUUCGUGCCAGCCGCCGCUGUAACAC